CUGAACCAGCGGAGGGAUCAUUACCAGAGUGCCCUAGGCUCUCCAACCCAUUGUGAACUUACCAAACGUUCCCUCGGCGGGCUCAGCGCGCGGCGGCCUCCGGGCCUCCGGGCGUCCGCCGGGGAAAACCAAACCCUGAUUUAAUCGUAUUUCUCUGAGGGGCGAAAGCCCGAAAACAAAAUGAAUCAAAACUUUCAACAACGGAUCUCUUGGCUCUGGCAUCGAUGAAGAACGCAGCGAAAUGCGAUAAGUAAUGUGAAUUGCAGAAUUCAGUGAAUCAUCGAAUCUUUGAACGCACAUUGCGCCCGCCGGCACUCCGGCGGGCAUGCCUGUCCGAGCGUCAUUUCAACCCUCAGGCCCACCCUUCCGGGGGAGCGGGCCUGGUGCUGGGGAUCGGCGGCCCUCGCGGCCCCCGUCCCUCAAAUUCAGUGGCGGUCGCGCCGCAGCCUCCCCUGCGUAGUAGCACAACCUCGCACCGGAGAGCGGAACGACCACGCCGUGAAACCCCCAAUUUUUCAAGGUUGACCUCGGCUCCA
rnacentral:misc_RNA from 1 species